rnacentral:rRNA from 1 species
AUGGAUCACUUCAACGUUCCAGAGCAGUGGAGAAUGAAGGUGGAACACGCUGCACUGAAGAAGGCUAGGGAUGCUUGGAGAAACUGGAAGCAUGCGCUGUACAAGAAGUACUUGAGUGAAGGCAAGGACCCAAUCCCCGCAUACCCCCAAAUUAUAAAGGCAUACUGGGCAGAAUUCAAAAGGGUCAGGGCAACUACGGAGUUUGCUACGAAGAGUGCCAAGCAAUCGGAACUUCAGAAGAGGAACACACACACCCACUGUAUGGGUGUCGCGGGAUACUACGGCAUGAAACCAAUAUGGGACCAGGAGGACAAAGAAGCAAUAGCUGCGGGUGGGAAACCGGCCUUUAGUGAAAUUAGGGGUGAACACGCUAGAGACUACUUGCGGGCAUGUGCAAGGAGGUGUGAUGACGGAACUUAUUACUUUGAAAACUCACAUAACGAAAAAUUGUAUUGUGUGAUGUUAAAGGCUUCCGAGAUCCCUGGAAGAUUCUACAGGAACUCAGGGCCAUGUGACAUUAUGUCCGGUGCUCUAGAAACACGAGAGCCCCCUGGCCGUGCAAGGGUAUAG